CGCAUAAUGGCAGUGUGGUUAGCUGGUUGUGCAAUUCAUACACGACCACUAACCAUACUACCCUUGUGAU
rfam:Agrilus planipennis Contig66000, whole genome shotgun sequence.